GGGGAUGUAGCUCAGUGGUAGAACACUUGCCUUGCAUGUAAGAGGCCCUGGGUUCCAUCUCCAACACCACCA
rnacentral:tRNA from 1 species